CCUACGGGAGGCAGCAGUGAGGAAUAUUGGUCAAUGGACGAGAGUCUGAACCAGCCAAGUAGCGUGAAGGAUGACUGCCCUAUGGGUUGUAAACUUCUUUUAUAUGGGAAUAAAAUGUUGGACGAGUGGGAGUUUGUGGGUACCAUAUGAAUAAGGAUCGGCUAACUCCGUGCCAGCAGCCGCGGUAAUACGGAGGAUCCGAGCGUUAUACGGAUUUAUUGGGUUUAAAGGGAGCGUAGGUGGGCUGUUAAGUCAGUUGUUAAAGUUUGCGGCUCAAACCUGAAAUGGCAGUUGAAACUGGCAGUCUUGAGUACAGUAGAGGUGGGCGGAAUGCGUGGUGUAGCGGUGAAAUGCUUAGAUAUCACGCAGAACCCCGAUUGCGAAGGCAGCUUACUGGACUGCAACUGACACUGAGGCUCGAAAGUGUGGGUAUCGAACAGGAUUAGAUACCCUUGUAGUC
rnacentral:rRNA from 1 species